AGGGAAUACAGAGGAGAGGACAACACAGGCGUUCACGGCGGCCGGCAACAUGGCGGCGCAGCGUUCUCAAGCACGGCGGGAUGUGUCGGUGUGGUGCAAGGACUAACACGGGGGCGAGAUGCACUUUGUGGCUACGAGCUGUGAGCUAGCGUCAGCUUCCCUCAGAUGUUCCCGGUGACCUCUGACCUCAGAGUUUGGGGUCAAGCCCUGACAAAUGAGACGGCAGAGUCCUUUGCCAGAACUGCAAACAUUCCACAACAAUCUCAUGUCCUCUUCCUCUCCCUUCAUAUCCGCGCCACCCCGACGACCCCUUCUCCCCCUGCACACUGUACGUAUUCCAUGGAUUGGUCCAAAAAAAAAAAAAAAAAGCUUUAUUGGGUUUGCUGUAGUCAACAUACCGAGGUAUUACAACAUGAUCUAAAAUUUCCCCAACACGUCCGCUUUGUCGAAACAAGUAAAUAAAACAAAACAGCAUGAUCUCGGGGCUGAGGUUGGGGUGUGUAAGAGAUUGGGAUGUUACAGCCAGGCACAUUAUGUGAUUGUGUGUGUGUGUGUGCGUGUGUUCUUGUAUUUCUACCCUUCUUGAGACAUCAACAAGGAAAAGUAUCUUCCAUAUGAGGACCGGUGAACAAGUUAGGACCGAAACCAUGGUCCCAAUAGGGAAAACCAUUGCAUCCAAUAGAGAAUGUCUCAUUUGCACCCCUGGUGGUGAAAUGUAUCAAAAUUAGGGUGGUCCCAAAAAAGAGGCAUUUUUCAAAUUGACUGUGUGUCGGUUUUAAACGUGCUCCCCCUCUGGUCAACAUAUGUAAUAAAAAGUGUGUGUACAAAUUUGAAGUGCUCCCCCUCUGGCGGACAUAUACAAUAACAAGUGUGUGCAAGAAAUUGAAAUUCGCUCCCUUUGGCCAAAAUUUGAAAAUAAAUAUGUAUAUAGGGACAUACUGUAAUAACUUGAAGUAAAUAAUGAAGAUUAAACAACAAAUACAAACAAAAAAUUCAACAACAAAAACAUUAACUAAAAGCUUACCUUUUUUAUAUUUGUAUAUUAUGUAUAUAUUAUUAAUGUUGUAAAUACAAAUAUUUAUAUAUCUAGAAAGGGUGGUCCUAAAGAGGUAGGCAUUUUUCGGAGGUCUCAAGAAGGUAACAAUACAAGAAUGUGUGUUUGUGUGUGUGUGUGUGCGCGCAAGUGUGUGCGCGCGCGCGCGUGUGUGUGUGUGUCAGAAAAUCUUGUCAGCGAUGUCAAGGAUGAGGAAUGUUGCAGUGUGAUUUUUACACACACUGUUGGCUCUAGCAUUUCCGGCAACAUUUCUCACUCUGUCUCCCUCGCACCAUCCCCUGUCCUGCAAUAUCCCCACAUUUUUCUAUCCUUUAAAGACAUCACCCCUCACCCAUUCCUUCACAGGCCUCCUUAUUCCCUCUCUGUCCAUUUUGUCUCCUUUUACCACCAGUCCCGGCUGUCCCAUCGUCAGCCAACGUCAACCUCACCCUUCUUCCUCCACGCUCUCUCUGUCUGCUUAUCUUCCUUGUCACUUUUUCUCUCAUUUUUCAACAAGCCACCAAAAAAGUGCAAGAACCCGGGACUACUGAGGGCUAAAAAAAUAGGAGGCUAGUUAAGGUAAGUGGCAGCUCCUGUUUUGGGAUGACAUGGCAAAUAUUUAUUCAGCCGUAGUUGGCGUGUGUUUGUGUGCAUGUGGGAGACAGACACUGCUACUGCAUGUAAUGUAGGAUGCACAAUUUCCAGUCACUUACGACAUAAUAACAAGGAUAAUGUAAGCAUAUGUGCAGCUAAAACAUAAAAAAUGUACCGCAAGAUGUUUUCUCUAGUUGAAAGUGGAAUUAUUGUAGGUUGAAAUGUGAACAUUUGUACUGACACAAAUGACAGCACAUGAUAUAAAUGUUCUUUUCCCUAGUUUGUAAGUUUAACAAUGAAGCGCCUUGUGCACAUUAUGGAAAAAUCUUCUGAGUAGACUGUAAAUGAGCCUGAUUAUAGCAAAUAUGCUGAUUAAUCUAAAGUCUCAACUAAUUAUUUUCGUCUAAAUUAGCGUAAACAACCUAUUUUCCUCUGAUUAAAAUAAGAUAAAUAAUCAAAACAAAUGCACGUUGACGAACACUAUGACAUCUACUGACAUUUUAGUCAACAAAUAAAAUUGAGACAAAAAUGUUGACAGAAACAAAACCAAUCAUAUUGGAUUUUGUUUUUUAGGUGGGUGGGACAAGCUUUAUAACGGCAUACGAGUUACAAAGGAAAUCCAAUCAGGUGCUUUUCUUUAUUUUACUUAAAUAUUAGUAAAUCGAUUUUCGAAUGAAACACGAUUCUUAUUUGUAAUUAUUUUUAAUCGAUAAAAAAAAAAAAUCAAUUUAAAAAAAGCCUUUAAAAAAAAUCUGUCACUGCCACUUUAUUAAAUGUUAGGGUAGGAAUGUAUUAAACAAAACCAGUUUCCUUUUAAGUAAUAAAGAAAUGUAUCAGAGCGUUUUGUCUAUUUCAUGGAGGAAAGUACUUAAUUAUAGACCUGCCACCAAAUGUUAUUAAAAAAGUAAUCAUUUUUAAUUGAAAAACGUUUUGAAUCGAGAAUAAAUUCUGAUUUAAAUUGUUACCUUCCAAGAAUCAAAUCGUAUUGUGUGGUGCCCCAAAAGCAAUAAGACAUUAAAGCUAUCUUGUAUUUUAAAAUUCAUAUUUUAGUGGACUAAAUUUACUGUAAUUUUAGCCGAAAUGUUGUGCAAUUUAGUCGACUAAAACUGAAUCAAUACAGAUUACUAAAAUUUGAUGAAGACCAAAAUACAAAAACUGCUGUCAAAAUUACAACUGAAUCCAAGUAGGAAUAUAUAUUGUUCCCUUAUAAACCAGUACUAGUACUAAAUAAGUACCUUAAAAAUGGUGCCUGAACUGGCACUCAAAAUAAGCAAAUACUAAUAAAAAAAAGCUUUUUUAUUUUUAUAGAAUUUUGUGACAUUCAAAUCGAUAAGAUUAGUAAUUCAGAUACUUCAAUUAUAUAAAUGAAAUGAUAACUAAGUAAUACAUUCAUAAAUAAGCAAUAAAAUCCACAACAAAUUGUGAUAAUUCUCGCAGAAAUACAGAACAUAGACAAACGCGCAAAAAAUGACUUGUUUGUCACUUGUCAUAAUUCCUGGGGUUCCUGAAUGCAACCAUCAGUGUGUGAAUGUGUGUGAGAAUGGGUGAAUGUGGAAAUAGUGUCAAAGCGCUUUGAGUUCCUUAAAAAGGUAGAAAAGCACUAUACAAGUAUAACCAUUUACCAUUUACCAUUUAUCUCACUCGCCAUAACCUUGUUGGUGAAUACCGAGGAAGUCCUGUCACUGUGUUGUUGUUGUGCCAGCGGUGUUACGAUCACCAAUACAAUUUAAAAAGUGUGUCAGUUAUUACUUGUUGCAGGUGGCUGAGUCUGCAAUCAUUUACCACCGAAAUAAGGCACCAAUAUAUAUAUAUAUAUAUAUAUAUAUAUAUAUAUAUAUAUAUAUAUAUAUAUAUAUAUAUAUAUAUAUAUAUAUAUAUAUACAUUUACAUUUUUUUUUUUUGGUGUGGUUACGUUAUGGAGCCAAGUUGUGUUACCCAUCCCUAGUCCGAAUACAGAAACAAACAGUAAACACAAAUGGACAACAUGACAAAAUCAAGUUAAAACCAUACAAAAGACACUAAGAAAACAAAAUAAACAAUGCAAUUAGUCAAAGUGAUGAAAUGACUAGGUUGGUUAAACAUUGACCCCACAUUCCCUUUAAAGCUCCACCUAUGAAAACAAAAACAGUCACAUGUCAAAAAAAGUCCGGAUGUGAUGCUUGCUUCUGUAAUUGUACUAAAAGACACUGCUAUACAAAUAAAAACAUCAAUCACAUAAUGCGACUAUGCUUUUUUUUUGUGGUAUCAUUUGAUGUCUGCUGCUAUAGGAGCCACUGGAGGCUACACCUGGCUGAACAUGAAACUUGACCUGGUCAAGAAUGUUUCCUCUCAGGGUGGCUGAUCACAUGACGCAAAAACACAGAUGGAUCCACGCUCUAAUGUGCCGAGCAGUGGUGCAGAUUACGGCUAUUCUUUCUGCUUCCAGACAUUUUUGGUUUGUUUUCCCAGGCGUGAUGAGAAUGACAUUCUAGUAACAUUUGAAUACAAGAUCGACCAGAAGAAGAAUAAUUGAUCCAUACCAUACUGGCCAAAGAAGAAGAAGAAGAAGAAGAAGAAGAAGAAGAAGAAGACGAAGAAGAAGAAGAAGAAGAAGAAGAAGAAGAAGAAGAAGAAGAAGAAGAAGAAGAAGAAGAAGAAGAAGAUGUCGAGGGAGAGGAACACGAAGCAGAAAAACAAAGAAAAAAACUAAUACUUGACAUACCAAAAAAAAAUAUUGUUGUCUUCUUGUAAUAAAAAGGCAAAUGCAGAGAAAAAAAGAACACAAAAUCAGAAUCAGAAUCAGAAUCAGAAAUACUUUAAUUAUCCCCAAGGGUAAAUUAAGAUUUUCAGCACAAUCCCAUUCAAGAGCAGACAAACAUUACAGGGAGACAGAACAGGAUCGCUGACGGGUCUGCCAACUUCUGGCGCCCCUUACAAAAAAGGUGAGACACAGGUAAACGCUGCGUGGGGGGGGAUCUGGGCCAAGUUAAAAAAAACCUCAUAGCCAUAGCACACAUAAACAUGUGUGUAAGAGGGAAACAUCAAACAUCAUUGAACACAAAGGACAUUAAAGACAUUAAAAGAGCAGAGCUGAUGCAACCAGCCACUUCUACACACAGCCACAAAAGUAAAACAACAAAAAAACAAAACAAAGAGCAGAGCUGAUGCAACGAGCCACUUCUACACACAGCCACAAAAGUAAAACAAAAAAUAAAUAAAUAAAUAAAUAAAUAAAUACAUAUACACUGUGGUGGCCUAUGCGGUGUUCCACGCCAUUGUCUGCUGAGGUUGGGGGAGCAUGGCCAGAGACAGGAGCAGACCCAAUAAAGCAAUCAAGAGAGCCGACUCCACCCUCAGCCACCCACCAACUCUCGGCCAGUGUCCAGUCCGCAUGGAUGAGCGAGGAUAUGUCCAAGGAGACCGAGGUGUCCGAUGUUGGACAAAAUGUUGGAUUUUGCGGUAUUUUGGUUACCAAUAUCACUUUAUGAGCUACCUAAACCGCAUUUGUUUUAACAAGUCAUUAUUACAAAAAUAACAACGUAAGUGCAAUCAAACUGUUUGGAUGGCAAAUAACACUUUAGAAAAAUGAAGUACUGCAAUUAUACGAGCGGGGAAACGCAAGAAUAUUUAGUCAUGGCAAUGUAAUCGCCAAUGUGUCAGUCGAGUUCAAAGCUAAAAAGGGCGGCUUCAAAUUUCAAUAAUGAACAAUGUGGAUGGAUUAAAGUUUAUGUAAUUUCUAAAGUGCGGUUUUCAAUUAUUUCAGGUUAUCAGUUUGGCGUAAAAUGCCUAUAUUUUGGAAAAACUGCCUUCGAGUAGGGAACGGAAGGGGUUGACAUUUGACGCCGUCUUCUUCUUGGUUGUAGAGUACUGAUGCUACCAUGUCUCACUGUUUAUUUAGCCGAUGUUGCUACUGGGUGAAAACUGUGUAAACACGAGGCGGGUCCAAACAGCACCAUCGCCAGCUGAACUGAACGGCACUGCCCUUCUUUCAUUUUCCAUCAUUGUUUGGGCUUUAAUGGCCAGCUUCCUGUCUGUACGUUCAGUGUAAAUAAAUGAUUACGUGCUGCAAACACACACCGAGUGUCAGCAAUCGGCCCCCGAGUUGAAACAGGAAGUUAGCGACAGACAAAUGGGGGAGGCGUAGGCAAGUGGGUAAGUUAUAGCCAUGACGCCAUUAGCAGAUUCUCUCGUUUACGCCCCUUCUCUCUAUGUCCGCGGGCAGCUGAAAGAUAUUUAAAUAAAAAUAAAAAAAGGGAAAAAAGGCGUUUAAAGCUCCUUGAAUCCCUGCCACCACCCACGGUUCCGGCUGUGUUUUGGAGCGUGGAUGUAUGCCCUCGUCCCCCAGGGCACCGGUCCCACUUUAUCCCACCCCUUUU